CCUACGGGUGGCAGCAGUGGGGAAUAUUGCGCAAUGGGCGAAAGCCUGACGCAGCGACGCCGCGUGAGGGAUGAAGGUCUUCGGAUCGGAAACCUCUGUCAGCAGGGAAGAACGGUCACUGUGCUAAUCAGCAGUGAAUUGACGGUACCUGCAAAGGAAGCACCGGCUAACUCCGUGCCAGCAGCCGCGGUAAUACGGAGGGUGCGAGCGUUAAUCGGAAUUACUGGGCGUAAAGCGCUCGUAGGCGGUAUGUCAAGUCUAGGGUGAAAUCCCCGCGCGCAACGUGGGAACUGCCUUUGAAACUGGCAGACUGGAGUGUGGGAGAGGAGAGUGGAAUGCCAGGUGUAGGAGUGAAAUCCGUAGAUAUCUGGAGGAACAUCAGUGGCGAAGGCGACUAUCUGGCACAUAACUGACGCUGAGGAGCGAAAGCGUGGGUAGCAAACAGGAUUAGAUACCCUAGUAGUC
rnacentral:rRNA from 1 species